rnacentral:tRNA from 1 species
GGGAAGGUGGCUCAGUGGUAGAGCGCUUGCCUUUCAUGCAUGAGGUCCUGGGUUCAAUUCCUCACCACCACA